rnacentral:rRNA from 1 species
CGGCGUACGUUCGCGAGAAGUCCACUGAACCUUAUCAUUUAGAGGAAGGAGAAGUCGUAACAAGGUUUCCGUAGGUGAACCUGYGGAAGGAUCAUUGUCRAA